GAAGAGAAAUACAGAGUUUGAUAACAACUCUUUACUUUUAAAUGAAUUUCAGAACUAUAGUUACUUGACAGGGAUGACUCCAAAUAAUAGUAAUAUUUCAGCCGAAAAUGUUUUUGCCAAGGCUACACCAGUGUCAUCAGCUACCAUGUUUUCCAUUGGAGUAGUUGGGAAUAUAUUUGCUAUAAUAGUUAUAUGGAGGUCUUCACCAAGUCACAAAUGGAAGGCUUUUUAUAGAUAUGUGUUCUUGUUGGCUAUCACAGACUUAUUAGGGAUUUUACUGACCUCCCCAAUCACGCUGUAUACUUAUGUGAAUAACAGGCAGUGGAUAGGAGGUCAACCACUUUGCAACUUCUAUGGUUUCCAGAUGGCGUUUUCUGGAGUGGCAACUGUCCUAAUUGCGGGUGCCAUGUCGGUUGACCGCCUGAUGGCCGUUUACUUUCCAUAUUUUUACACAAAGGAAAUUAAAAACAUUCCAAGACGAAUUAAUUACAUUUUGGUAUUCAUUUGUCUAUUUUCAAUUCUUGUUGGGGUUUCUCCUAUCAUAGGAUUCGGACAUAAUCAGGUACAGUUUCCAGGAACAUGGUGUUUUUUCGAAAUUCAUUCGGAAGAAAUAGUGGACAAAGCUUUCUGUAUUAUGUACGCCUCGACUAUAUUGAUAGUCAUACUAAUAAUGGCCGUUUGUAAUACACUGGUUAUAGCAUUUCUGAAAAACGAAUCUUUAGAAUGGGCAUAUGCUAACGGACGCAAAACUAGUAUAUCCAGUGUAAAAAGUAGCAGGAAGAAAAACGAUUUAUACAUCAUAAUAUUUCUAGUGGCUAUAUUUGUUGUCUUCAGUGCUUGUUGGACCCC
rnacentral:lncRNA from 1 species